ACAACAUUAAUAAUUAACGGUGUUAUAAGGGGCUCUAUAAAGCCUAAAAAAAUAUAUGUGUUCUAUAUAAGCCAUACAUCUAUUUUGAAAUAUUACUUUAGUGAAUGAAAUAAAAAAUUAACUAGAUCGAAGGCUCGAGCGGACCACAUGUUAGGAAAUAUGGAGAUUAAAUUACAUUUACUUCUUAUGGUGUGGUCUACUUGGGCCUUCAAUCUACCUUAAGUUUGGUAUCAUGAAAUAAAAUAAUUUAUUAAAAUUAAUGGUUAGAAUGGAUAAACCAAAUACAUCAUGUUGGGCCCCACGGAUCCCCUGUCAGGACCGUCCACGUCCGUCUCAUAAAACACGCCCAAAUUUGGGCGCGCGCUCGAAACAGAGCCGCACCCAAAUAGGACCGUCCAUUUCUCUCCCUCUCUCUCCCUCCGUUUCCUAUACCUCUCUCUCUCUCUCUCUCUCUCUCUCUCCGUUCCCCAAUCCUCUCUCUCCCUCCUGAUCUUUGCUCCAUAUUUCUCAUUCUCUUCCCUUUCUCUGUAAUAUGUCCUCUGUCUCUUCUACCUCUCUUCAUUGCAGUAGCCGUGAAGAUCCUACCCGAAGAAACACUCGUCAUUCGAAACCCUUCUCAUAUCUUUGAGGCAUAGCUUUUUCCUGGUGGUAGCUGGUGUGAAAGCUGGCCUGUUGGACAAUCCCAACUAAUCAACUAACUCCUAGCUUUUCUAGUUCUUUCCUAUCAUCUCAAGUACCACAAGAAUCUCAAGGUGACCAGAGAAACAACCCUCCAACUGAGGUUCCCAGAGAGGAUUCUGGUUCGGUAUCCAUCUCCAGCAAUGAUGGCAGGAAGGCUUUUCGCGAGGACAUUGAACUUGUAAGACAAGUUAAUACAUUUUCCCAUGACUCAUGUGUUGUUAAGUUUUCGGAAGAUCAUAAAAGAUAGUAAACUAGAGGAAUCUUUGCUCAUCCUGCACAACUGUGAUCGAGGUUUGUUCUUUUACUGCUAUUUUUCCUUUGUUUUAUUUUUGAUGGUUGUGAGGAAUGUGGAUUAUUUAAGCUUUCUGAAUUAUUGGAUUUGAUGGCGUUGCUGAAUGGUAUUUGACGGUUUUCGAAUUACGGAUUUAUGAAUUAGGAUAUUCUUUUGUAUUGAUAUUGAUUUUUAAGUUUUGCAAAA